rnacentral:lncRNA from 1 species
UUAUUACAUUUGUAGUUGUACAAUGAUCAUCACAAUCCAAUUUUAUACGAUUUCCAUCCCACAACCCCAGUGCAUCCCCCUACCCCCCAAACUGUCUCCUUUGGAAACCAUAAGUUUUUCAAAGUCUGUGAGUCAGCAUUUGUUCUGCAAAGAAGUUCAUCGUGUCCUUUUUUAAGAUUCCACAUGUCAGUGAAAGCAUUUGAUGUUGGUGUCUCAUUGUCUGACUGACUUCACUUGGCAUGACAAUUUCUAGGUCCAUCCAUGUUGCUAAAAAUGCUGUUAUUUCAUUCCUUUUAAUGGCUGAGUAAUAUUCCAUUGUGUAUAUGUACCACGUCUUCUUGAGCCACUCCUCUGUCGAUGGACAUUUGGGUUGUUUCCAUGUCUUGGCUAUUGAAAAUAGUGCUGCAAUGAACAUCGGAGUACAUGUGUCUUUGCGAGUCCUGGUUUUCUCUGGAUAGAUAUCCAGGAGUGGGAUUGCUGGAUCAAAUGUUAGUUCUAUGUUUAGUUUUCUGAGGAAUCGCCGUACUGCUUUCCACAGUGGUUGCACCAAUUGACAAUCCCACCAACAAGGUAAGAGGAUUCCUUUUGCUCCACACCCUCUCCAGCACUUACUGUUUGUAGACUUUUUGAUGAUGGCCAUUCUGGCUGGUGUAAGGUGGUCCCUCAUCGUGGUUUUGAUUUACAUUUCUCUAAUGAUGAGUGAGGUUGAACAUGUUUUCAUGGGUUUUUUUGGCCAUCUGUCUGUCUUCUUUGGAGAACUGUCUGUUUGGAUCUUCUGCCCAUUUUUUGAUGGGGUUGUUUGUUUUUUUGGUAUUGAGCUGUAGGAGGCGUUUAUAAAUUUUGGAGAUUAAUCCCUUGUCAGUGGAUUCACUUGCAAAGAUUUUCUCCCAUUCUGUGUGUUGUCUUUUUGUUUUGUUUAGGGUAUACUUUGCUGUGCAGAAACUUUUAAUUAAGUCCCAUUUGUUUAUUUUUGUUUUUACCGUCGUUACUCUAAGUGGUGGAUCUGAGAAGAUGUUCCUUUUGUUUAUGUCAGAGAGUGUUUGGCCUAUGUUUUCCUCUAAGAGUUUUAUAGUGUCUGGUCUUAUAUCUAGGUCUUUAAUCCAUUUGAGUUUAUUUUUGUGUAUGGUGUUAGCAGUGUUCUAAUUUCAUUCUUUUCCAUGUGGCUGUCCAGUUUUUGCAGCACCACUUAUUGAAGGACUGUCUUGUCUCCAUUGUGUAUUCUUGCCUCCUUCGUCAUAGAUUAGUUGGCUGUAGGUGUGUGGGUUUAAUUCCGGGCUUUCUAUCCUGUUCCACUGAUCUAUAUGUCUGUCUUUGUGCCAGUACCAUAUGGUUUUGAUGGUUGUUGCUUUGUAGUAGAGUCUGAAGUCAGGGAGCCUGAUUCCUCCAGCUCCAUUUUUCUUUUUCGGGAUAUCUUUGGCUAUUCCGGGUCUUUUGUGCUUCCAAACAAAGUUUAAAAUAGUUUCUUCAAGUUCUGUGUAAAAUGUCCUUGGUAAUUUGGUAGGGAUUGCAUUGAAUCUGUAGAUUGCCUUAGGUAGUAUAGUCAUUUUGAUCAUAUUAACUCUUCCAAUCCAAGAGCCUGGUAUGUCUUUCCAUCUGUUUGUGUCAUCUUUGAUUUCUUUCAUCAGUGUCUUAUAGUUUUCAGAGUACAGGUCUUUUGUCUCUUUAGGUAGGCUUACUCCUAGGUAUUUUAUUCUUUUGGAUGUGAUGGUAAACGGGAUCACUUCCCUAGGAGAAGAACUAUCUUUGUAGGCAACAUUGCUUAUGAUAAAAAUGAACCCUGACUGAUACCAUAUUUGGACUGGGAAGAACUAUAAAUUAAAUAAAUACACAUGCCUGAAGGAGGCACCAUCCUUGCCCCCCCCCCCAUGAAUGGUGUGACUUACCAGGGCAUGCCCUUUGAGCACCCUGGAAUUACAUCUACAGAGUUAUCAUAUAACAUAACUCUAGUGGAACAUAAGACUUGUACCCAGAGUAUAUUCCAUACUCCUGAGCUGUCCCCAGAAGGCUCCAUGAAACGCUAGACAAACCACCUCAAGAACUCUAGCCAAGAACUCGUGUUGUGGCUCAGCAGGUUGAGAACCCAAAUAGUGUCUGUUAGGAUAUGGGUUCAAUCCCUGGCCUCACUCAGUGGGUUACGGAGCUGGCGUUGCCCCAAGCUGCUGCGUAGGUCACAGGUGCAGCUUGGAUUUGUUGUGGCUGUGGCUGUGGUGUAGGCUGGCAGCUCCAAUUCAACCCUUAGCCUGGAAACUUCCAUAUGCAGAAGGUGCGGCUGUAAAAAGAAGAAAAACAAAACUCUGAUAAAAAGGAACACCUGAUGCUGCCCCGUUGGCAAGCUACUCUCCCAUCCUAUUUCCUUCCAAAGUCUAGUGCCUUGUGUGGCCUAUGAUGGUCUCGUGAGUCUGUUUAGUUAAAGCUAAAAGGACUCCUGAAAUACACACAUUUCAGGGGAUCUCUGUAGUAAUUCUUGCAUAUUUCAAUGGGGGUUAGAAGACUGAAGGAGAUAAUAAACAUGAAACACUAUAUAAAUGGCAAAGCACUAUCUAAAUAUAUUUUCUAUUAUUAAAAAUACAAAAAUAUAUAGAAUAAAUAGGUUGAUUUUCAUCACUAAAACUAAUGGUGAAGGUCAUACCAUAGCCUAACUGGCAAUAUUUCCCUCUGGCUUGAAUACAGUUCUGUAGAGGCCAGAUCAUUAAAGGCCUAGGAACAGGCAUACCCAGCAUAAAAGUGAGCCAUAGCCCCCUGCCCAUUGCAAGGGCACAGCUAAACUCUAAUUAUAUUAAGUAGCAGUAAGCACUUGCAGCUGAGACUGAGGUUGGUCACCAUGUGGCUACGGGGAAGAGCUGUGUUUCAGAAAAAAGCAAAGGAGCUAGCUAGCACCCUCUUACUGACUCUCUCUUAAUCACAGACAAGGAAACUGGGAAAGACCCAUCUAUCCAGGACUUGCCGGAGGUUCUACAGCCUGCCCUGAAGGCUGCCCUUUGUGACAAGAAUGCCAGUGUACAGAUGGCAGCAGCAUUAUGCCAGUAUGCUAUACAGUCACAUAAUCCUCUUGCCCAAGACAUCUUGCAUGCUGCCCUUUUGAAGAGUGAGUAACCCCUUGUUACGUCUCACCUAGAAAUAUGGGGUAGUGAGAAGACAUCUCACCAUCAGCUUUUCCUAAUCCUUUCCUCUCUACCAUCAUGCUCUGGGUUUACGUUAUUCAAGGAUUUGUUCUUCUUCGGUACUUUUACAAAAUAGGUACUCUGCCACCUAGUGGUACCUGGGCUAAAUGUUUUAUAGGUUCAUUCUAUUCGAAACUAUGCCCCCCUCCCACACAACUAGCUUUUCAAUUGAAAAGAUAAUAUAACAAUAUUAAAGAAUACCUUUCUAAAAAUUUAAAAAUCACUACUUAAACACAUCAUGCUUCCAUUUUGCACAUUAACUUACCGGCACUGUCUACAUGCAUCGUCAGAGUAAUACAAGCAAAAGGUGCUUUACUGCUGUGUCUGAAAAACGUACCUGUUCCUUGCCUGGUGGCAAGGGUGCAGGACAACUGGCCGACUGAUUUGGCCUUCUGCAGACACGCAACAACUUAAUUCAUCUGUCUUAAGAAAGUCUCCACUUCAGAUUUCCUAGUCUCUAACAGGAGGAAACAACUACUUCUCUCACCCAGGCCGGAGAUGUCUUACUGCUCUGUUACCUAACAAAAACAUUUUAGGAUUUUACUUUUCAGGUUAAAAUUUUCAGUCUAUUAUUUAGAACCCUGAUAUGGUCCAUUCAAAUGUGGUUUAAAUAAGACGCUGAAUUUUGAGACUGAGGGGAAACAGAGAAGCGAGAUACCAGGCAGAUAGCAGCCUAGGGUACUAACCCAAAGGCUGGUCUCUCUGUAGGGAGAACAGAUCGCCAUUCUGGACUCCUUUUUCACCCCACUUUGGCAGGUAAUAGCGCAGACAGCUGGGCUGCAGCUCAGUGCUUGGCUUUGGAAGGUGCUGCCACUUACCCCGUGAUUAAGAGGAUCCUCCAACAGCUGUUUGACAAGAAGAAUGAAGACACGGAGCACCGGUCUUGUAUGCUCCUGAGCCAUCUCAGUAGGAAGACAGUAUGUGUCCAUUAUAGAGUCAGAGAAAGAAACCCAGGUUUUGGGGGAAUGACUGGGUCUUUGAGGUCAGUGCAUAUAAGGAAUUAAAAAUGCACAUGAUUGGGUAGGAUGAUCUUAAGCACAGGUAAAACUGGACCAAGUGCAUGAACUGGAGUGUAUACAGGGAAAAGUGACAACAACUAGCUGAGAAAGGUAGACUGCAGAUGGUUUUUCACUGUGUAUGUAUAAGAGUUGUGAUAUAUGGAAUUUGCUUUUGUUUGGUUUUGUUUACCACUGAAAACCACAGAGCUGCCACUGUGUUUUCUUUCAGCAGAAAUGUAGCAUCCACAGAUUGAAGCAUAUACAAAUCAUUUUAGGGGGAGAGACAGUUACACCAAGAAGAGGUCAGGGAGUUCCCAUUAUGGCUUAGCAGGUUAAGGACCCAGCAUUGCCUCUGUGAGGAUGCAAGUUGGAUCUCCAGCCUUGCUUAGUGGAUUAAGGAUCCAGUGUUGCUGUGGCUGUGGUGUAGGCCUGCAGCUGCAGUUCCUAUUUGACCCCUUGCCUGGGAACUUCCAUAUGCCACAAGUGUGGCCAUUAAAAAAAAACUAGAAGAGGAGGUCAGGAAUUUUCUGUUGAGAUUACUAAAUCUACAUUUUGCUCCCUGAUUUACGAUCGUAGAGGUCAGCUGGCUUGGAUAGAAGCACAUCCCAUUGCAAACCCACGUUUUCCUUUGCUAGGGAUGGCAUCUCCUGUGUUUGUCACAUUAGUUAUGCUGGAUGCCAGGUUAGGAUGUAACUUCAAGGUUCCAGCAUCAAAUAUCAAUACAAGUCUUCCAUUUCCUCAGACCCUGGUACACAGCAUGCUUGCUGUGGAGCUGAAUAGCCAUCAAUGGAAAGACCGGAUUGUGGCCUGCCGGGCUCUCUCCCAGAUUGGUGGACAUGUCAGUUUGGUAAGCUUCUCUUCCUGUGUUUCCAGGACAGAAAGUCUAACCAAAACUGGGCUAGGGAGCUCUUCUACUUUUUUGCUGCUAUCUAGGAUCCCAUUCUUAUGAAAUGGAUCUCUGUCCCGACACUGCUACCUCUUACUCCUACCCCAGAAUUAUCUUUAAAUGCCAACAUACUGUUCUUACUUGAGCCACUGCUUCCCAGCAUGAUGGCAGUCCACAAACUGUAACCUACCACAAUGAAAUAAGCAAAAAGAAACAGAGAGAGAAACAUUUAGAGACCUUUAUAGUAAGUUGACAUUGCCUCAACAUCAAGGUCUUUUAUAAGUAUCAGUCAAGACUGUCCCUACUUUCAAAAACUUGACAUCAGAGUUGGAUUACAAGACUAACAUAUACAAGUGAUUCAAGAAAAAGGGACACAUAGAAGGUACUCCCUUAAAACUUUCAGAGAGAGAGAAAUUAGUGUGGGCUGAAGUUAUCAGUUAAAGUUCUCUGAAGCCACCUGAGACAGCUGAGCAAGGCUUGGACAGAACUGAAAAAAAGACUUCCCAGCAGGCAUGGAAAACUCUGACCAUCAUUUAGGCUUUCACAUGACCUUCGCCUUGCCAUUGCCAUUGUUUCAAAAUGAACUUCAGCUGUUCAAAUGGGAUUUUUCCUUUCCUCCAAGGUGCCACUACCUUUUCCUUAUAACACUGAGUUCCUCCAAAACAGCCCAGAACACUGUCAUCCUGAGAAGUGAGCGACCUCCAUUUUGACCUUCACACUUUGACAUGGAAAGCAAAAAAAUCCAGCCAUUUGGUGUAGUCAUCUGAAGACACUCUAGUCUGGGUUAAUUCUGCCUCAACUGCUAUAGUAGUACCCUGCUGCUGAAGUCCUGGAUCAGCAGCACAAGGUGUCACCUGGAAGUGCAAAAUCUCACCUCAGGUCAAUUCAGUCAGAACCUGCAUUUAACAAUGUCAUUUUAACAGCAUCUGAUUCAUUUGCUCUUUCACUUCCUCAGCACGUGUCCCUCAGGAUGGCCAAUUGAGAGUAAAAAGCCAUGCAGAGCAAGCAGAGGGCAGGGGAAACAUGAGAACUUCAUGUCAGACUGCUGGGGUUCAGCAAGCAGCUCUGACCACAUCCUACAUGCGAGGCAGCAUGCCAGCAUUGGGGAUGCGGCAAUGACAGGUCUUCUGUUGGUAAAUGUUACACAGGAGUAGCUAUAACAGAAUUAGCUGUAAAGUAUGGGGUUUACAAUUGCUUACAGAAAGCAGAGAAUUCACUGAGAUGCUUUUAGAGCACAAUCCUAAAACAAAAGGAAAACAUCAGGAUCAGAUGGGGUGGAAAAGGUGCAUGUUUCAGGCAGGGAGGAUGGCUUUGGUUGCAUUACAUUAUCCUCAACUAGAAGUCUUCAUCUCUUCCCCUUUGAGAGUACACAGGAGGGUCAACUCUCCUACCUCGUCCAGUACGUAGGACUUUGAGAACUAAAUCCAGGAAUGUCCCAGGCAACUCGGGAUGAGGUGGUCACCCCCAUGACCUACUAUUAUUAUCACCUCCAAAUUGUAAGUCUCAAGUACAGACUACAUUGGCUUCGAUGUAGUAAAGCAUGAGCUUCAAAAACAGGCCAGGGAGUUCCCUUUGUGGCUCAGCAGGUUAAUGAGCCCGACUAAGACCCAUGAGGAUACAGGUUUGAUCCCUGGCCUAGCUCGGUGUUAAGGAUCUGGCAUUGCGGUGAGCUGUGGUGUAGGUCACAGAUGUGGCUUGGAUCUGGCAUUGCUGUGGCUGUGCUGCAGACUGGCACCUGCUGCUCCGGUUCAGCUCCUAGCCUGGACUCUUCCAUGUACUGUGGGUGCCGCCCUAAAAAGCAAAACAACAAAAAACAGGCCAAGGUCCAAGUCCUGACUCCAGCAUUCAACAGGUUGACCUUGGGCAAGAAGUUUAAGCCUCCAUUUUGUGACAUAUCAAUUGUAAUAUGUCUUAUGGGAUUCUUUGGGAGGACUAGGUGAUGGGCAAAAAUACUCAGCACGGUGCCAAAUACAAAUUUGAUGUUCAAGAAAUGGUGGCUAAUCACUACCACCUGUUUAUAGGAUAUGAGACAUAAGUUGAUCCAGCUGAUGUUGAGUGACUGGAAUAAGAAAGUGAGACAAGCAGCUGCCCAAGCUCUGGGGCAGAUGAACCUUGGGAAGGAGGUGCAUGACACUGUCAGGUAAGACCUUGUCAAUAUUGACAUGCUCCUAUGCUUGAAGUGUUCAGGGGGCCUGGGCAGCCAGCAUUUGCUGAGCUGCUCCUAUGCUCAGCAUUGUACUGGAUCCCACCCCAGAGCAAGAUUAUUAUUUUUUUAUAUAAAAAGUUAACAGUUUCUACAGACACUAACAAUGUAGCUAAGGAAUUAAUUGAAUGCCUGCUAGCUGUUAGGCACUGCUUUAGAUGUUUGAGAGAAUUCAGUCGCAUGCCAUGAUUCUAAUUAUACAGGCAAGAUACACAAAUGCCCAGUAAGGUUGUUUCAUGAAAGAUGGGUUAAGACUACAAAGGCAGAAAGGAAAGACAUUCCACCCUGAGAGCCAAAUACAGAAAUGAGCAUGGCACAUAGGAGGGCAGUGGGGAAGAGAACUUGACUGUAGCAAGAGGUGCCAUGUUUCGGGCUUAUUCAGUCUUUCAACAUAGUUUCGCACUUAGCAUACUCCAGGUAAUAGGGAUUCGAGUAAAGAAAACAGUCGAGGUCUUUACCCGGUGAAACUGAAAUUAAUGGGCGUAAGGCUGACUAGGAAAGGAUGGGAAUGGGGAACCUACAGAAGUUGAAUUUUAUUCUGAGAGCACCGUGAGGGGUUGGGGAUGCAGGACUGAAAGUUUUAAGGAGGGAAAAAUAAAAGUGCCUGUGCCUUACAGAGUCAAACUGGGUCAAGGAAAUUCCCAGGAGCGUGUGGAAGCCCUCAUCCUGAUUCGUGAGCUCAAGCUCAUGACUGCCAAGCUUCUCCCAAGCUUUCUGAACUGCUUCUCUGAUGACUUCAUGGCAGUUCGGCGGGCAGCUUGUUUGGCAGCUGGUGCCUUGCAGAUUCGUGAUGAGAUGGUGAGUCACAGAACAUGUACCCAUCUGAUUAAUCCAAGAGGGCAUUGCCCUGUGCUGCCCUUGUACACAGUACACUUACCAUUCUGAAGAAACACAGAUCAGAACCAGGAGGGUGAGGGAAAGAGGCCACACCAACAAUUAGGACCACAUUUAGCUCCAAGUCAGCCUAGACUUCACUCUGGAGCACACCUCUGAAUCCUGUUCUCACCUCAGUUAACUAAUGUCUCAUUACAUGGGUGCCCAGAGGCUCUUGGAUCAACUCCAGUGAAUGGAGUUGUAAUUUCUAGUUAUUAGUGGAAAACCU